AUUUCUUAUCUCCUCCUAAUUUUGGUAUAGUCGGUUAAGUAUUUUUUAUUCAACCGUCUUAUUCUUGGCAAGCAGCAGGAGAAACUUCUUAGAUUCACGUCAUGAACUUUACGCUUAUUAUAGUGUUGCUGGUACUCAUAUCAGCCGCCUAUGCCUUUCUGGCAUCCCCCUGUCCCCCAGAGUGUGACUGUGGGCCGGGCUUUCAUUGUGCUAUAGGCAACAACAUCUGUGGCUUCUACUGUGUCCAGUCAGUGAACAUACACACCUAAAGCUGGUCGAAAGCGUAUCAUUAGUUCCAGAACUCUAAGACGUCACCAUGUUUAAUCAAAGUUAAGAGUAUUCGAAACCUCGUCAGAGCGACAAUUUUGGGGGAAAAAAAGUCUGUCAAUAGUUUCUUGUCAAUAAAAGCAAUAAGAUU